ACUCCUCCUCGAUGCCCCGCCCUUCCCGCCCGCGGCUCACUCUCCACGGUGAGUUUGGCCUGUGUCUUGUCAUCCGGCGUCUCGCAGCCAAAGAAGCCACGGUCGGCAAAACCUACGUUGUGCAGAACCAGGCGGUGGCGGGCGCCCUCGGCGUGGAUCUCCACGUUCUUUCCCGGCGCCAGGGCCGUCGCGUUCCGUGUCCACCUCAGCUCCGGCCACGGCCGCGUCAGCUCCACCUCCAGGGUCACCGAGCUCCGCUCCUCCACCGUCUGCGGCUCCAGCUUCUUUUUGAACAGCACAGGCGCCUCUGGGGUCGCAGGAGAGGGGAGGUCACGGCGGCCCUCGCCCUCCUCCACGGACAAGCCAAGGUACAGAGGGCCCGCACAGCCCCGGCGCCUGCCCUGAGCCGGGCCCAGGCAGAGCUGCCGGCACCGCGCCCCGGGAUCCCAAUCCAAACAGCGCGGCCCUGGCCACACGCGGGCCGCAGCUGCGCACCCUCCCGGGUGCGACUUUAAGCGAGGAAACCAGGAAGCUUCCUUAAGCCCCGCUCCCACCUCCAGCUCCCCUGCUCUGAACAAGACGCCAGGCCCUUGUGCCUCGAAAUCCUAGACGUGAUCCCCACUAGUAGCACUGGCAGGAACUGCAGAGGGGGGAAGACAGAGCUUCCCCAGGCGCAACGGCGGUUUAGCAAAGCCCAGGACUCCUGCGCAGGUUAAGGAAGAGGCGCUGGCGGGCCUCUCUGCCUCAGGCCACCCGUCAACUCCGCAGAAGGUGAAUCUGCUGCAUCACUCCCUUACUCUAGAACCUGCCAUGACUCCCACUUCCCUUCAGGGCAAGUUCUGGCUUCUGGCUUCAGCAGCAUGGGAAGCCCAUGUCACUGCUUGCACUGGUGCUAACCCCACUCUCUCUUCCCUGCCAUCCAUCAGGCUAAGUAUGCACCCACCUACUCCAGAAAGCCUCCCUGGAUUGCCUCAGCCUCCCCCCAUUCCCCACCAGGUGCAACUGCAGGAUUGUAUCUUCUCUAUACCAAGAGAAGGCACCUGGCCCAUCCAGCCUACCGGAGUCUCCUCUCUGCAGCCCACACACCCCGUGUCUCCUGAGGUCAGCCGGACCAGCCGUAACAGGACAGCAGUUCCAGGUGCCCACUCAGAACCAGCCCACAGGGGAGGUGCCUGUGCAAGGAGCCCUGGCCAGCCAGGCAAAUCCUGCUGCCCCCCACACUCACCUCGGACCCUCAGGGCAGCAGAGGAUGAGGCGCCCUCAGCCUCCACGGUGAUCUGGCCCGCGUCCUCCAGCACCAGGUCUGAGAUGGUCAGGCUGUGGCUGGCGCCACUCUGUGAUAUGGCAAACUUCUCGCUGGGCUGAAGCAGGGCACCGUCCCGGAACCACACGACUGCCACAUCACUGGGGGACACCACGCACUGGAAGGUGGCCUCGCCGCCCUCCUCUGCGACCACGGUGCUCAGCCCAGACAUAAACUUCACCACUCGGGGCACUGCAGACAGGAGCACUGCUUAAGAGGCGGGCGCACAGGACUGGCAGAGCCCUUACGCUGCAGGAGUACCAAAGGCCGCCUCCUCCAGGAGGCUGCCCUGGAUAGGGACACUCGACCCCUUACAUACCACUGACGGUGAGCUGCGCACUGGUGUGGUCAUCACGGCUCUCACACACGUACUCCCCUGCGUCCUCUGCGCGCAGCCCCAACACAGUGAGUGAGCGCACGGGCCCCUCGGCCACCAUCUGGAAGCGCUUGCCCACCCGAAGCUGCGUGUUGCCGCAGCGCCACACCACCUCUGCACACGCUGGGCUUAGCUCGCAGGCCAGUGUCACCGUGCCACCCAGCUCGCCGCACACAGGCUCCAGCAGCCGGCAGAACUUGGCGGCCACCUCUGUGGGCACAAAGGGGACAUCAGCCGGGCUCUUAACAGACCAGACUUGAGCCCCAGCUUCGCCCCUGUCCAGCUCUGGGACAGAGGUGUCUGGAGGAGUCCCCGCCCCACGCCCCAUGCCCGGCUCACCUUCCACCUGCACUGGGAAGUCCUGCCCCUCUGCGCCCACACGGCAGCUGUAGAUGGCGCUGUCCAGAACCUGGGCGCCAUGCACGGUCAGGGUGUGGGUGUCCCCCUGGCUGGCUGUCUCAUGCCGCUUGCUGCGGCGAAUCUCCACACCAUCCUUGAGCCAGGUCACCGUGGCCGCAGAGGGUGUGGCCAGUGUGGCGGUCAGGAUGAUGUCUUCAUGCUCCUUGACCACCAGAGGCUCCCUGCGGCAGGGUCUCUCUGAAAUUUGGGGCUCCAGCUCUGGGUAGAGGGAGAGCCCUCACAUGGGGCCAGAUGAGGCCGUGCAGGGACUGCAGGAGUAUCCCCGAGGGAGGGACGUCUGGCUUACCGCCAUCUCAUGCAUUAGAUAGGACCAGAGUCCUGGACACCUCGGGACAUCGGUAGUUUGGAGAAGGUACUGGGAAAAUGUGACCCAGCAUGUCUGCACAGAAACACCACCCAACAUGGACAAGGAGGGCCCUGACCCUUCCGUUCACUCCCUUCCCCACUAAGCAGCCCAGCUCCACCACAGGCAUAAAAAUAGGAGGUGAGAGGAUGGGAGAAGUUGAGGGAUGGAGUCUAAUGGAAAGCCCACUGGGUCAGCAGUGGUUCUACUCCAGUCACAGCAGCAGCUACAAACAGGGCUCACUCAGCAUCCCCAAAGCACUGACCUGCCACCUGCAGGCGGAAGGAGAGCUGCUGACCCCCUGCCUCGCAGCUGUACUCCCCGGCCUCUGCCUGGCCCGCCUGCUGCACCACCAGCCUCCGUGUGCAGCCCACGGCCUCCACGCGCACUUUCGAGCUGGAACUCAGCUUCUUCCCAUCCUUGUACCACGUCACCUCUGUCUGGGCCUGGGCCACCUCGCAGCUCAGCGUGGCACUGGCCCCCGCCUCAGCCUGCACCUCCCUGUGUGCUGGCUGCUCCUUGGCAAACACCACCUUGGGCUCUGGGGAUGGACAAGGAGGGACACACGAGGUCAAAGAUACUGCCCAGGUCAGGAAGACCACCCUAGGGUAGGAGGGCCUAGACAAGAAAGUAGGAGAAACAGAACCUUCCCAAGCUUGGCACUGGCCAUGUAGCUGGGAGAAGCCCCACCACCUCCCAGCACAAGAAUCACAGUUUCUCCAUCCACUGUGCAGUGCCAUGGGCUAUUCCAGGCGGGGCAGUUGUGACAAACCCUCCGUGCACGAGCUCCUCCAGUGCAGGGACUGGGUUCCUAAUGCUUACACAGCUCCCUUCAAGGAUAUGCUAGGGUCUCCCCAUGGGACUGGGCAGGGCGUGUCCUCACUGCAGGGCCCCAGAGUACUGAGGCUUCCAGUCCUGCCACUGUCAGGAGGGUCAGCGUUGGCCUCUGCGGGGAAGGCCUGGGCUUUGUCAUGCAUUGCCUGGUGACAUGCAAGGUGGAGCCCUUUCCACCACUUCUGGCCAUUACGUCAGCUCUUCUGGGGUGUCGCUCUUCAGGCUUCUGUCCAAUUUUCAGUAGCCUUUUCUGUCUUUUCCUUCCUUAUUUUUAGGAACUCUUUAUAUAUUUUAAAUGCUAGCAAAUGAUAACUGUGUAUUUGUAAACAUCUUACCCAUGUCCUUGACCGGCCUUUUCGCUCUCAAAUGAUGUCUUGACAAAUUAAAGUUUUAGUUUUAAUGUAGUUAAAUAUACCAUUGUUCCACUGUUUAGUUUUAAGAAAUCUUUCCUUUCCCUGAAGUUUUUAGCAAUCUAUGUUAGCAUCUAGAGGCUUUAUGGUUUUACCUUUUAUACUCUGUGGCCUCUAACCUUCCUGGAACUCACUUUUCAGUGUGAAAUAAGUUACUAGUCUAAAUUUUUGUAAGGUUAAACAAUCAAAGAACUAUUUUUUUUUUAGAAGAUCAUCCUUUCUCCACUGCCUGUGCAGGUGUGAAGGUUAAAAAAAAAACACACAAAACACACACACACAAAAAAAACAAGAAGCAAUAAAAGGGAGAAUCCAUGUAUUUGGGUCUGAUCAUGAGCUCACGAUUCUGUCCCUUUGGUCUGACAACUGUCCUUGUGUUGUGCCUGGCUGUCUCCAUUCCUGCAGCUGAAUGUUCUUGAUAUCUGGUAGACAAAUGCUCACAAGUGGCUCUUCAAGAGUGUGUUACUCCACUUGGCCUUCAGAAUCUGCUUCUCAACGUUCACCUCCCCAAAGAGAAACAUUUGCUUGGGUUUUGACUGGGCAUUAACAUAUUUGAGUCUUCCAUGGGUUUCUAUUUAUUUAGGUCUUCUUACUGUCUGUCAAAAAUGUUUCACAAUGGCCAGGCACAGUGGCUCACACCUGUAAUCCCAGCACUUUGGGAGGCUGAGGUGGGAGGAUUGCUUGAGGUCAGGAGUUUGAGCCCAGCCUGGGCGAAAUAGUGAGACCCUGUCGCUACCAAAAAAAUUCCUUAAAAAAUUAGCUAGGCAUGGUGGUGCACGCCUGUAUUCUCAUCAAGUCAGGAGGCCGAGGUGGGAGGAUCUCUUGAGCCCAGGAGGUUGAGGCUGCAGUGAGCCAUGAUUGCACGACUGAACUCCACUCUGGGUGACAGAGUGAGAUCCUGACUCAACAACAAAAAUAUCUGACAAUUUUCCUCCACUGAGGUAUCAGACAUCUUUACUAUACUUGAUGCUUUUCACGCUCUUGUAAAUCUUUUAAAAUUUCAUUUUACAACUGUGUUGCUAGUGUGUGUGUGUAUGCGUAUAUACAUACAUACAUAUAUAUGUGUAUUCUGCAUGUUGAAUUUCUAUGUGAUGUUUCUCAACUCUCAUAUUAUUUGUUAUAACUUAUUAUUUAUCUUAUUAUUUAUCUAUCUUUUGGAUUUUCUGAAUUGAUACUCAUAUAAUCUGUGAAUCCCACUUAUGUUUUUCUCCAAGUGUUAUACCUUUUCUUUUCUUUUCCUCCUUUCUCUGCUGUACAGUGCUGAAUGGAAGUUGGGAUGGUUGGCUUCUACGUGCUGAUUCCUAUCUCAAAGGCAAAGCUUUCAAGGUUCUCUUUAAAUAUGCAGUUACCUGGUGUUUUCUGCAGUACCACUGACCAGAUUAAAGAACGAUACUUUAUAAUUUGUUAAGAAUUUCAUGGCAUGAAUUGAUGCUGAAUUUUAUCAAAUAUUACCUCUGAACUUUAAUAUUAAAUUUAAUCAAACAUUGUA
rnacentral:lncRNA from 1 species